rnacentral:misc_RNA from 1 species
CGGGUCUUCUUCAGGCUCUUCACCGUAAUCAGUUUCAGUUUCCAUCUUCAUCUCAUCAACAUGACCAGCCGAGUCAUUCCUCUCCACUGCAGGUGUUCCAGCAUCUGCUUGAGAUAGACUUGCUGAUUCUGGUUCUAUAGAUUUAUUUUCAAUAGGAAUGUCAGUAGUCUUUGGCCGUUUUGGUGAUGAUUUUUUAUUGUCUUCCUUGUGGAUUUCCUCACGUUGUCGCUUUCGCUGAUUUCUCUUUGCCACAAACUUGACACGCAGUUUCUG